rnacentral:rRNA from 1 species
UACGUAGGCAGCAAGCGUUGUUCGGAGUUACUGGGCGUAAAGAGUAUGUAGGCGGUUGGGGAAGUUUGGUGUGAAAUCUCCCGGCUUAACUGGGAGGGUGCGCUAAAGACUGCCUGGCUCGAGUGUGGGAGAGGAAAGCGGAAUUCCUGGUGUAGCGGUGAAAUGCGUAGAUAUCAGGAGGAACACCUGCGGUGUAGACGGCUUUCUGGACCAUAACUGACGCUGAGGAGCGAAAGCCAGGGGAGCAAACGGG